GUGGAUGUGAUGAUUAUUUUCCCGAAUGAUCGAAUCUGAAAUAACUGAGCGCUCAAUUCAUGUUUCUCCUUUUGGUGAAAUUCAAGCAAGAAAUCUGAUCCAUCUUCAAAAUUGUGUUUUGUUUAUAUUCUCUAUUACGUUAUAGAGAAUCUAAGCCAGAAAUUUGAUCCUAUCUCUGUUUAUGUUGAUAAAAUAUGAGUUCCUCUGAUGAUGAUUCAAAUAAAAACUUUCGUUCUUCAAGGAUGAUAUCCGUCUAUGCAGAAACGAUUAUUGGAGACCUGAGCUGAAGAGGC
rnacentral:lncRNA from 1 species